rnacentral:rRNA from 1 species
UGGGGAAUAUUGGACAAUGGGCGAAAGCCUGAUCCAGCCAUGCCGCGUGUGUGAAGAAGGUCUUCGGAUUGUAAAGCACUUUAAGUUGGGAGGAAGGGCAGUAAGCGAAUACCUUGCUGUUUUGACGUUACCGACAGAAUAAGCACCGGCUAACUCUGUGCCAGCAGCCGCGGUAAUACAGAGGGUGCAAGCGUUAAUCGGAAUUACUGGGCGUAAAGCGCGCGUAGGUGGUUCGUUAAGUUGAAUGUGAAAGCCCCGGGCUCAACCUGGGAACUGCAUCCAAAACUGGCGAGCUAGAGUAGGGCACAGGGUGGUGGAAUUUCCUGUGUAGCGGUGAAAUGCGUAGAUAUAGGAAGGAACACCAGUGGCGAAGGCGACCACCUGGGCUCAUACUGACACUGAGGUGCGAAAGCGUGGGGAGCAAACAGG